rnacentral:rRNA from 1 species
AGGAUGAACGCUGGCGGCGCGCCUAACACAUGCAAGUCGAACGGCACCCCUCUCCGGAGGGAAGCGAGUGGCGAACGGCUGAGUAACACGUGGAGAACCUGCCCCCUCCCCCGGGAUAGCCGCCCGAAAGGACGGGUAAUACCGGAUACCCCGGGGUGCCGCAUGGCACCCCGGCUAAAGCCCCGACGGGAGGGGAUGGCUCCGCGGCCCAUCAGGUAGACGGCGGGGUGACGGCCCACCGUGCCGACAACGGGUAGCCGGGUUGAGAGACCGACCGGCCAGAUUGGGACUGAGACACGGCCCAGACUCCUACGGGAGGCAGCAGUGGGGAAUCUUGCGCAAUGGGGGGAACCCUGACGCAGCGACGCCGCGUGCGGGACGGAGGCCUUCGGGUCGUAAACCGCUUUCAGCAGGGAAGAGUCAAGACUGUACCUGCAGAAGAAGCCCCGGCUAACUACGUGCCAGCAGCCGCGGUAAUACGUAGGGGGCGAGCGUUAUCCGGAUUCAUUGGGCGUAAAGCGCGCGUAGGCGGCCCGGCAGGCCGGGGGUCGAAGCGGGGGGCUCAACCCCCCGAAGCCCCCGGAACCUCCGCGGCUUGGGUCCGGUAGGGGAGGGUGGAACACCCGGUGUAGCGGUGGAAUGCGCAGAUAUCGGGUGGAACACCGGUGGCGAAGGCGGCCCUCUGGGCCGAGACCGACGCUGAGGCGCGAAAGCUGGGGGAGCGAACAGGAUUAGAUACCCUGGUAGUCCCAGCCGUAAACGAUGGACGCUAGGUGUGGGGGGACGAUCCCCCCGUGCCGCAGCCAACGCAUUAAGCGUCCCGCCUGGGGAGUACGGCCGCAAGGCUAAAACUCAAAGGAAU